ensembl:piRNA 21ur-3523 ncRNA
UUACAUAUCCUUCAAACCAAU